AAACAUUGUAAAAACAUUGCUGGUUAAUGCAGGUUAUUUUGUAUGGUUACUUUUUGUAAUGUAAAAUUGUUGGUUUUGGUGUAUGAGCGAUGAUGGUGUUUGAUAUCAUAUAUUAAAACACUUUCAGAUUCAUAAAUGGAAUAGAAAUGGAAUGAUUCAUUAUCUGGGUAUUUUAUCAUUUUUCAAUUAUCUCAAUUUUGAUUGAUACCAAUGCAUAGCUCAAGAAUAACAUUCUUAGUGCAGGUCAAUAACCAAUUUGACAAGAGUUUUGGAAGUAACUUUCCUGGAACUUAACAUCCUUGAACUUGAGCUAUACACCAACAUUAAGGAUGUUAAUUUGACAAGAGUUUUGACACGCGUCACGUGUUUGACAAAAUGUUUCAACUGGUUUCUUUUCUCUUUUCGCUUAUGUUGUGGUGAUUAUUGUUGUAUCACUAAAGGAAGGCAUGUUUAAUAAUGCAAAUGUUCUUUUUCGGACAAAAUUUGUAGACGGUGUUUCAACGGUUCAACGAACUCUUGAAAAGCAAAACAAGUGAUUUAAACAUGUUAUAUGUCCUUAUAAACAUGUUCAUCUUCUGGUAAUGUAAGGAUAUAUAAACAGUGUCUGCAACUGAAUUCAUAUCUAUUUUGAACUUCUCUUUGGGACUGAUAUGUCAUGGUAGUAUGAACAUUGUCAUUUCCCCUAAUGUAAUAACUAUGAUAAAAUCUGCACGUAAUGGAAUUUUGGUAUCAUACUCAA